UGGGGAAUUUUGCGCAAUGGGGGAAGCCCUGACGCAGCAACGCCGCGUGGGUGAUGAAGGCCUUCGGGUCGUAAAGCUCUGUCUGGAGGGAAGAAAUGAUUGGGAGCUAAUACCUCUUGAUCUUGACGGUACCUCUGAAGGAAGCACCGGCUAAUUCCGUGCCAGCAGCCGCGGUAAUACGGAGGGUGCAAGCGUUGUUCGGAAUUAUUGGGCGUAAAGCGCGUGUAGGCGGUCUUUUAAGUCUGAUGUGAAAGCCCCGGGCUCAACCUGGGAAGUGCAUUGGAAACUGGGAGGCUUGAGUACGGGAGAGGAGAGUGGAAUUCCUAGUGUAGGAGUGAAAUCCGUAGAUAUUAGGAGGAACACCGGUGGCGAAGGCGGCUCUCUGGACCGAUACUGACGCUGAGACGCGAAAGCGUGGGUAGCAAACA
rnacentral:rRNA from 1 species